rnacentral:misc_RNA from 1 species
GAUGAAGAACGCAGCAAAAUGCGAUACUUGGUGUGAAUUGCAGAAUCCCGUGAACCAUCGAGUUUCUGAACGCAAGUUGCGCCCGAAGCCUUUUGGCCGAGGGCACGUCUGCCUGGGCGUCACGCAUCGCGUCGCCCCCCACAAUUCUCCGUAAAGGGAACAUGUGUUUUGGGGGCGGAUAUUGGUCUCCCGUGCUCAUGGCGUGGUUGGCCGAAAUAGGAGUCCUUUCGAUGGACGCACGAACUAGUGGUGGUCGUAAAAACCCUCGUCUUUUGUUUCGUGCUGUUGCUCGCAAGGUAAACUCUUUAAAAACCCCAAUGUGUCGUCUCUUGACGACGCUUCGACCGCGACCCCAGGUCAGGCGGGACUACCCGCUGAGUUUAAGCAUAUCAAUAAGCGGAGGA